CCUCAGGAAAAGCCCCUUCCGCUGUCCGUAAACUUGAGGAAAAGGCCCUUCCGCUCCGACCCCAACCCUGAGGAAAAUCCCCUUCCCUUCCAGGCUCAAUGCUGAGAAAAGACCCUUCCCCUCUAGCCCCAACCCUGAGGAAAAGCCCCUUCCCCUCUAGCCCCGACCCUGACGAAAAGCCCCUUCCCAUCCAGCCCCAACCCUGACGAAAAGACCCUUCCCAUCCAGCCCCAACCCUGACGAAAAGACCCUUCCCAUCCAGCCCCAACCCUGAC